ACCAUGGCCUCCACCUCCAGCAUCCCGGAGGAAAAGAUGGGAAAGGAAUCAAAAAGGGAAAAUGAAAGAAAAUACAUAUAUAGACAUAGUGGAGAUACGAAAUGGGAAGAGAGAGAUAGAGGGUUGGGGGAAACAAGGUCAUUUAAGAACAUCGCUCAUCUCACAUUUACUGCGACUGGUGCCACAUCAAACACAAAGGGGGCUUAGAUGCCGAGUACCAUAGUUGGAAGUACAAGGACAAGCCAUGUAAUUAUUCACCCACAAAGACAAAAGCGACAAGUCAUGACGUGGGGACCUCUAACUUGGCAAAUUUAUAUCCAUUCAAGACAUGGUACCCCCACAUCCCCUCACCCCCGCACUGUGUUUCAUCUUUCUCUCUGUCUCACUUUAAUUACGGAAAACCAAAGCAAGAUGAUGUUUCGUAGGGAGAAACUGUACAUACACAUUAUAAAUUAAUUGAGAGGGGGGGUAGUAGGGGGAAGGUAGGCAGAAAAAGGGAACAUAAAAAGAGGAUGAACUGAAUAAAAUCAAAGGCUAGUAGAGUGUGGGCAAAAAUGGAGGAAAUAAAAAAAAUAAAUAAAUAAAUAAAAGGAAAAGUAAAAGGAGAGGGUGGUGGAGCGAGGGAAGAGGGGGGAUGGGUAAACAUUGGGGCUGCAGUUUAGAUACCUUAGCAUGAACUGGGAACCCGGCAUUGAAUGAGGGAGAGAAAGAGAGAGGGAAAGGGAAAGGUGGGGAGUGAAGGACAAAAUCAGCCCCAUCCCAUCCAGGUGGGUCAGAGCAGUCCCGCCCUUAACACUGUCUCCUCCUCCUCUCCUUCUUCUCCUUGUUCAUGUUUGAUGUAUCUUUACGGCUCUUAUGGAUGGUGUGCACCCCCAUGACCCGUUCCUAUCAUCCCUAACAUUUGGUUAUUAUUGCGGUUGUUUUCUGGGAUCUGCUGCCCACCCCUUUGGACUGUCAUUGUUAAUGCAUGCAUGCCCCUACACACAAGAAAUUAGAAUUCAAAACCCAUACACAUAGCUAGCCUCACACAUCAUCACCCUUUUUCCUUUUCCUCUUCUGAUGCUGCUAGCCGCUACCUACUUCUCCUUCGCCGCCCCCAACCCCACUCCCACUUGUUUUCCUUCUUUUUUUGGUUGCAGAUACGAGGGAAUUGAUCACAGCCCUUGGUUGGGCUUAAUGCUGAGUGGGAUACAUAUGAUGAUGAGCAAAGAAAAAGCGUGAGGGCACCUCUCACUAACUUUGGCACUUUCCAGGGAGGCUUUUUCUUAGGUGAGAAAUAAAGAAGAGGAGGUGGGGAAUGGGGGAAGAAGCCAUCCGAAAGAUCACGGGAAUGUGGUGCAUUAAAUCCAAACAAAAUAUCAACGUGGUCCAUGCACUCUACUACCCUCGCUAGAUUGCACGCGUCCUACUUUCGAACAGAUGGAUGAUCCCCUUUGAUGAAUGAUUGCUCACUCCUAGCGUCUACAUGGGACUACUGCUUUUUUAUCGUUUUCUCAACCAGCUGGACAGGUGUGAUCGUGAUGAAGCCGCAACAGGUGAACUUGUGUUUCUCCGCAUUGUUAAGGAGCUUCGUUACUUCUCGUUGCUAAUUAUUGAUUAUCCCUUCAUCGUUGCUAUGUGGGAACUGGGAUGGAGCUUUCAUUUGGCGAAACAAAUGAACAAAAAUAUGAAUGAGUUGGCAUGGGCCAUCAAAUCAUUCCACCCGUCAAUCAUACACUACCAUGCCGAAGGAUAUACUCAUCCUUCCCACUCUCAAAAAGAAUAAAUUACCGUGAAUAUUGUUCCUUUUUUGGGUCAUGCCAUGCAGGCUAAAUAGUUUGUCUGAUAAUUAAGUCCUAUCUAACUCUCAGAUGUCUUCUCUUUCACUUUCAGAAUCCAAAUUUCAUAAUUUGUUUUGUCAA